rnacentral:lncRNA from 1 species
UAUCACGCGAACGUGUCCACAACCACGAUAGUAUAUUAAUCCUUCUAAAGCAAAGUAUGAAAUUCAGGUUCAAAAGUGACGAAAAGUUGUAAUAUAGACAACAGCAUUCAUAUAGUAGAAGGGGCUAACGAUUUUACCUGCUCCUAAUACAUAAAACUAAACCUGAUUAAUAUUGUAAAGUCUAUACAAUCAAACAGUGAGAAAGAGGACAAAUUGAAUCAAACUAAAGUAGACAUUGGGGAAACUAAACUAAAACAUUGUUUCAAGUUUGGCAAUAUUUCAAUGCUGAUCAACCUUCUGCAAUUAUAGAUUAAGAAUGGAAACAGAAGCUGCUCAUCUCACGAAUAGGCGCAUGAAACCUUCUAUGGCAGAUAAUGAAACAAUAGAAAACUAUAUUGAAGAAGAAAAUGCUUCGAUCCCUGUCUCUAUGGCUUCUGAACAGAUGGAGGCAGAGAUUGCCAAUAUUCUUGAAUAAAAAUGAACAGUAGUAAGUUUAAACGAGCCUCUGACUUUAUCGACGACCAAAUGGAACAGAUCUCAAAGGGAGAUCCUAGGACAUUUAUCACAGCCAUGAAUGAACUCAUUAACAACUUGCAUAUCCAAGACAAACAAUCAGAAAGGGGAAGCUCUUCCCAAAGUUCAUAGAAAUGAGGUAGUUCAAAUCUGGGCAUUCCUUGUCCACCACAUCUCAAAGAAACAUGUGAAAGAUAUCAUACUGUUUGUAACACAAAAAAAUGGGCAUAAUUUCUAAAGGAUGAAACUAGCUAAAUGAUGUUGUUGAUCAACUAACAAAACAGAACAAGACACACGAGCAUGUUGCCAAUUAACUAUGAUAGCUAAGCUUAAAAUAUAUAGCCCAAACCUUUACAAUCUCAAAGGAAGAAGAAAACAGAAUGCCAAGAACUAAAGACAAAAGCAGCAUAUUUACCAAAGGUCGAAGUGCAGUUCUAUGUGCGACAAAAGAUGCACAGGGAAAGCUCAUCUAUGAAAUGAUCGUUCCUUAACAAAAUGACCAAAAUUCUAACCAACACUUAACAAACCGUCCCCAGCAAUAGGGUGAUCCUAGUUUAAAAGACUCUAGUAAUGAGGAAGAUUUCACAAGAACAAAUCACUUAAAGUCCAGAAAACAAACAUCAUUGUUUCAUGCUUGCUUAACAAUCACAAAACUGAACACAUCGUUCAUGUGAAAGCGACGAAAUCUCGACUCAAAAUGCACUUUGACCCCAUAAUAAUAGUUAAAGCAUACAGAGGAUACGAAACAAGCACUCGGUUCAGCUCUUAUUGAUUGACCAUAUUCAAAUACAUCACACCAUUGAGAAGAGAUUCACCAGCAAGAUAUUCACUCACAGAACCAAACACCGUUCUGGACAGAAUUCACAGUUCAAGAAUAUUUAAAAAAAAAUAGAGAUGCAAAAUAGAAAGAGAUUGAACCUGAACUUUCAAACUUCUUUUAUAAUAAUUACAGAAGAAACACCAAAUACCCAUCGGAUUCCAAAAAUCCUAGCGAGGUUCAGCAGCAAACCAGCAAGACAACACUAGAAAAACCAAGCUUGAACUUCAAUUCAUUUUCCAAAAAUCAUAUUCCGAACUAAAAAAUAUAUGUGUCUCACUCUUUGAACCUUUAAGAGAAAAUUUUUAAAGAAAAAACCAUCUUCAAGGUAUAGAAAUCAGAAGCUUAAGAAGAUCUCUCAAAUUUUCUCUCCCCAGUUGUUUUACCCGAAAGUCUCUGAAGAUCUCCUCCUCUCAUAUAGGCUGGUCUGUAAAAACUGGAAGGCUAAGAUUGACCCGUCUUCUCCCAAUCUUACAGCUCCCAUUAAUCAAUACCAACCAUAGAAGUGUGAGCAUGUGAGGGCAUUCUUGAAUUUUCCAUUAGGGUGACGAAAUUCUUGAGAAUAUUCCGAGUUUGUUAUGUGUCAGUUCACGUGUAUUGAGAGAGAUGAGAGAAACGGACCACGGGAUUGAGAGAUGAGAGAAAGGGAACAUUAAGGAAUAUUCCGUCGAAUAUUCCUUGAAUUUUAUUUCUUACAAUUUAGAAGAGUUU